rnacentral:rRNA from 1 species
GACGAACGCUGGCGGCGUGCUUAACACAUGCAAGUCGAACGGAAAGGCCCUGCUUUUGUGGGGUGCUCGAGUGGCGAACGGGUGAGUAACACGUGAGUAACCUGCCCUUGACUUUGGGAUAACUUCAGGAAACUGGGGCUAAUACCGGAUAGGAGCUCCUGCUGCAUGGUGGGGGUUGGAAAGUUUCGGCGGUUGGGGAUGGACUCGCGGCUUAUCAGCUUGUUGGUGGGGUAGUGGCUUACCAAGGCUUUGACGGGUAGCCGGCCUGAGAGGGUGAACGGCCACAAUGGGACUGAGAUACGGCCCAGACGCCUACGGGAGGCAGCAGGGGGGAAUAUUGCACAAUGGGCGGGAGCCGGAGGCAGCAACGCCGCGUGCGGGAAGACGGCCUUUGGGUUGUAAACCGCUUUCGCCUGAGACGAAGCGGGAGUGACGGUAAUGGGUAAAGAAGCACCGGCUAACUACGUG